rnacentral:lncRNA from 1 species
GUGUUGUGUCAUCAAACAGAAGGAUUUAAGGGGAGCGGUUUGAACUGAAGACCGGUCUUUAGGGGUAUCAGCCCCAAGAGACAGGCCCAGCCAGCUCUAAAGACUUUCAUCCAAAGUCCUUUGGAAUUGUCUUGGAUCAUUGCAUUGCUGAGAACAGCUAAGCAAUUCAGAGGGAGUUAUGAGAAAGAACUCUAUCCACAUUCAGAGGAAAAAACUGUGGGAGUAGAAACACAGAAGAAGAAACACUGAAGAAAAACAACUGCUUGAAUACAUGGUUUGAGGGGAUAUGAUUGGGGAUGUAAACUAAAUGAACAUCCUAGUGCAAACAUCAACAACAUGGAAAUAGGUUCUGAUCAAGGACACAUGUAAAACCCAGUGGAAUUACACAUUGGCUAUGGGGAGGGAAGGGAGGGAAAGAAUAUGAUUCUUGUAACCAAGGAAUAAUUGACUAAAUAAAAUUUUUUAUUUAAUAAAGUCUAAAUUGACU